UACGUAGGGGGCAAGCGUUGUCCGGAUUUAUUGGGCGUAAAGAGCUCGUAGGCGGUUUGUCGCGUCGGCCGUGAAAUCUCCACGCUUAACGUGGAGUGUGCGGUCGAUACGGGCAGACUUGAGUUCGGUAGGGGAGACUGGAAUUCCUGGUGUAGCGGUGAAAUGCGCAGAUAUCAGGAGGAACACCGGUGGCGAAGGCGGGUCUCUGGGCCGAUACUGACGCUGAGGAGCGAAAGCGUGGGGAGCGAACAGG
rnacentral:rRNA from 1 species